GACAUAGGUGGCGAACGUUAUCCGGAAUUACUGGGCGUAAAGUGUGCGCAGGCGGCUUCGCAAGUCGAGUGUGAAAUCCCCGAGCUUAACUUGGGAAUUGCGCUCGAAACUACGGAGCUGGAGUGUGGCAGAGGAAGGUGGAAUUCCAGGUGUAGCGGUGAAAUGCGUAGAGAUCUGGAGGAACACCGAUGGCGAAGGCAGCCUUCUGGGCCAACACUGACGCUCAUGCACGAAAGCGUGGGGAGCAAACAGG
rnacentral:rRNA from 1 species